CUCGCUUUCCGAGAGCUCCAAACAGGCUGCAACCAUCUUGACUUGGACUCAACCACUGCACUGUCGCCUGAGGCUGCCCAGUGUAGUCCUCCACGACGGCCGUCCAUAGAGCAAGGAAGCUCUGCCCUUCGUGCGUGAGAGCUUUCGAUGGUUAUGUGUGUGCAGAGCCACGAUUCUGCCUGCGACGAUCCGUGAGGCCUCCCCUCUCCCUCCGCCGCCAUGUUUCCUCGGACGCCUCUUCAGGCGCGUCGCCCCCACCUGGGCUGACCCCGCCAGGACUUCUCCGCGGUUUGCGGGGCUCUGGGGGGCGCGCGCAGCCAGCAUCCGCGGCGCUCUCCGUGCUCUUGGGGACUCCCGGGCGCCGCCCACCGUCGUGUGACUCCGGCUAAGCGUCAGGGAGCUGAGCCCGAUCCCACACGCUAGGAUAAAAUAGCGAACGAAAACGGGGCCGAAGUGGAGUACAGCGAUGUAUCAUCAUCCCUUCUCUGUCCCCUCGGGCGCGACUGAGUCUGACCACGUUCUCGGCCCCUUCGAAAACCUCGUCCAAAAAAGCUUAGUCUCAGCGUCCCUGGUCCCUAGUCCCCAGCUUCAGCCACCCACCCCAUCUGACACUGGUGUGAAGAGAAGGGAGUGCAUCCUGAGACCUGGACUUGUAGUGCCUGAACUACUCCCUUUCCAGACCCUAACCUUGUCCAGGUUGCUCUCCAGAUGGUGAAAAUGGAAUGAAUAAAUGGAAGAAGCUGUAAGCAAUGAAGGCAACCCAAACAAAAGAGUCUUCUCAGGACAGUGUUUAUCAACGUUUUAACUACAACCCACAGUAAGAAAUAAGUUUUUAUUAUGACUUAGUACACUUAGGCGGAUAUACAUUUUAUAAAAUAAGAGAUGCCCUCUAAGGUUUUCGAUAUUUUUUCCCUUCCCUUUUUUUUUUUUUUUUUUUUGUCUUUCUGUCUUCCUUUUGGGGAUCCACCAAAUUGACCCAAAGUUUAUUCAAAUCCCUUUUAUCAUGAGAUCCCUUAUUGAGAACCUACGACAAGAGAUUCACAGAAAGGCCUUUGAGAGCCUAGCCUGGCUUACACAGAGCACCCUCAGAACCUCCUGGGGGUUCCAAGGCUUUGGAGGAUUCUACCUCCCAGGCCCCAGUGUCAGGGUUAAGUCACUGAGGCAUUGUGGAUCCACACAGUAUUUACCCCUGUGGCCUAACUCAGCUGUUAUCCUACCACGCUCCUGUAUUUUCCAGCUUGUUGGUGGGUGGGUGGGGGGAUGUUCUUUUAGCCUCAGGAAGCUUUAUGGCAUCUCAGAAAUCCUGACUGCCCCAGAACAGGACAGUUGUGAGGGACUUAUUGCAAACGCCACAAGAAGUGAGUGUCCACAGACUCAGCUUGCCCCAGAAAGAGUAAGGCACCAUUGUUUAUUCAAUCCAAGUCCAUUUGGCUCCAGGGCUCCAUUCCCAGUAGCCCAGCUCAGUCUCCAUCCUCGGGGCUUUUGGCACUUGCCUUUCCCACCUGCUCCCACAUCCUUGAGCCCUAGGCUGCCAGCCUGCUGGCCCGCACACCAUGUCUGCUGGCAUGGUAAAGCAGAGCCUAGGGGCCGGACGAAGGAAGGUGUAGACUCCCACCUGCGUCUCCAAGCAGAGGCAGCUCAGAGCCCUCCCAGGCUCCCAGGUAUUUGCUGGGCUCCCAUCCAAACCCCAGCAGACAAUGAUGAGUCUUCAAGCCCCAACCCCAACCAUAGAGACCAACAGAAUAAACUAGGGGCUCAGGGUCCUUUCCCAUCUACAAGGACCCUUAGCUUUUUAGUUUUGCAGCAACUACAAUCACUCUAGGAGGAGGCGAAGUGACCCUGUCCCCUAGCCCUUGGGGAUUUCCUAUUUUGCUCCUCUAGGGAGGAGGAUCUUGUGGGAGAGCCUGGUGAGGGAGGCAAAUGGAGAGGCUCUGUGUUGUGGGAGUAGGUAUCCCGGGAGCAGGUGAGAGUACCAUUAAUGUCACAUUGCUGAGAGUGCCGUUAGUGUCACAUCGCUCCUGGAGAGGUCAGUCGGGAAAGGCUAUUUUCACAAGAAGCUCUCUUGCCCCAGAGGAGAGUCACCACAGAAGGCAAUUAUGCAAUGAUCUCCUUUUCUUCAUACCAGUGAACAGAAGCCUCGCAAGCCUCAUCCUAGGCCUGCCUGCUUCCUUCUCCAGAAGAGCAGGAAGGACAUUCCGUAAGCAGCCCAGGAAUGCAUUAAACAACUCUUCCCUGGGGCCUCAACUCCAGAAAUAUGUGGCUGUUGACAGCUCUUCCCCUUGCCUUUGGCCUCUGGCCUGAGCAUGUGGAACAAACACCGCCGAGUGUGGAUGCCCCUCUCUUUGCAUUUGCCUAAUUGUCCUAUGUCUUUAAAGAUGUCACCAUCAUUUAGAUUGGUGUUUCUGGUGUCUAUCUCCACUUCCAAGAGGGUUUACCCCAGACUAAAUUACAGCGGUGUUGUGUUGCUUUGUAUUAUCCACAUGUUUUACAGCCAAGACCUGGUCUCUAAACAUUUUGAUUGAUUGUAAAAUCUUAUUGGCAAAAAAAAUUAGUCAUCCCCAUACAUGUAUAUGACUCUAAGGUCUAGCAUUAGCUCACAUUUCAAGUCAAACUACACAGUUAAGGUGUGAAUCACCGCCAACAUUAAUAAAUGUGAAUUCA
rnacentral:lncRNA from 1 species